ensembl:lncRNA
AGGUGGGAGACGAGAUGGACACGUGGGAGGGGAGAUGGAAAGGUGGAGAGGAGAUGGACAGGUGGAGAGGAGAUGGACAGGAGGGAGAGGAGAUGGACAGGUGAGAGGGGAGAUGGACAGGAGGGAGAGGAGAUGGACAGGUGAAAGGGGAGAUGGAGAGGUGAAGGGGAGAUGGACAGGUGGAGGGGGAUGGACAGGAGGGAGAGGAGAUGGACAGGUGAAAGGGGAGAUGGACAGGAGGGAGAGGAGAUGGACAGGUGAAAGGGGAGAUGGACAGGAGGGAGAGGAGAUGGACAGGUGAAAGGGGAGAUGGACAGGUGAAAGGGGAGAUGGACAGGUGAAAGGGGAGAUGGACAGGA